rnacentral:lncRNA from 1 species
GUUUCAAAAGUGAGACUUUACAAAUUCCAAAACUUGAGGGCAAGUUUUGAAACUUGUCAAAACUAUUCACAUUCAUAACUUAUGAGUUUAAUGUGUGUUUUAUGAAAAGACGCUUGAUAAUCCAUAACUUGAGGACAAGUUUGUGGAGUUCAUUAAAAACAUUUAUGAAAAGACUUUUCAUGUUCCAUAACUUGAGGACAAGUUAUGGAACUCAUUAAAGAAUAUUUAGAUGUCACACCCCCAAACCAAGGAUGGCAGAAACGUCCGAGGGUGGCGGACUUCAUGUAUAGUAUCACAACAACGAGUAUAAUAGUGCUCAAAGUAAAUACAACCAAUCAUAUAUAUAUAUGAAAGAGUUACAUCAUUGUAUAAAUUACAUGUUUCUAAAUAAAUUACAACAUGUAGACAAAAAGUGUGAAAUNAUUUAACGUCCCAUCCUCAAAGCGCUGAUGUUUUCCUGUUUCACUGAUUUCCCGAGAAUACAAGUAGUUUUGAAAAAGUGUCAACAAUUAAGUUGGUGAGUUCAUAAGAGUUUGGUUUGAGGAAGAAACCGUUUUCCUUGUAAAAUCGAUAGAGUUUGAUUUCCAGAAAAUCGAAUAUUUUCUUAGUUAAGUGUGAAAAAAAUAUUCCUAUAUUAUGUGAUAAUGAACCCUAGAAAGACCUGUAGAUUUCUCCUAUAAUCGUCCAGCGUAUAUAAGUUAUAUAAUAUUUAAGUUAGAUAAACCGUUGAAUACAGUAGGUCUACCCUAGGUCCACAACCCAACGAGGAACAGGAGAUGAGGCGGGCCCACCAAUUCUAAGUCGAUCGAGACUAAGUUCUUAUACAACUCUAGCAUAUACGCUCAACGAUUAUAGAUGAAGUCUAACAACUCUAGAUGAAAUAUAAUUUUAAUAUCAUAAAAACUAUUUUAUGUGAACCUGGUACUUUGUAUUUGUACCCCUUUUUGUAUAAAACCGGUACUUUGUAUUUGUACCCCUUUUUGUAUAGAACCGAAACUUUGUAUUUGUACCCCUUUUCGUAUGAAAACCUGGUACUUUGUAUUUGUACCCCUUUUUGUAUAAAACUAGUACUUUGUAUUUGUACCCUUUUUGUAUGAAAACCUUUUUUUAAUGUAAAUGAUCAUAAACUAUACCUAUUAUAGUUUAUCAAAAUGUUUGAAAUGUUCAUGCAACCUAACUAUACCUAUUAUAGUUUAGUAUGUUUGUUUGUGGUGUAUAAGAACCCUUUUCUAUGUAAGUCGAAUGUAUAGCACAAUAUAACUAUGUUUAUCUUGCUUUGUUUUGUACUAAUGGUAAUGAUGGAGGAUCCUUACAAUUCAGUGAGUAUUUUCUGUUAUAUAAUUACACCACUACAAGAAACACAUGUACAAUAUGAAGUCAUCAAAGAUUUAACACUUUGCUCAACAUGUUACAAAGUGUGUUGAAAGUUAUAGGCUGUUAACUAGUUUUUAACCUUUCUACACUGUUCUAGAAAGAUCAUAGAAAAAUCAUACAAAGUCGAAAACUAAAUCUGUAAAUUCUGAGAGUUCCUAAAACGUGUCUAGUUUAUUCAUAUUUUUAAUCAUGAUUUUUGGAAGCCUUUAACUUGUAUUAAAAUGUUCAUAUUCACAGACUGGUCCAGAUUUGUUCUUGAAAUGAUAGGCUGUUCUACAAAAAUCACCAUAAAUUGUAGAAAAAUCGUGUGGAGAUGUGCAAGUAGUCAUUUUAAAGUUAAGAACUGGAACUACUUACACCUGAAAAAGUUUUGAAAUCUAAAAUUUUUAAGUUGCCCAAAACAGUCCGUGAAUGGAGUUGAACAUUUCUGAUGAAGGCUGUUAGAAAAGUUUAGUUAUGUUCUUGGUGUUUUAACUUGUAUCCCCCCCCCCUUAAAACUUAAGAAAACAUGAAAAUUUAGGGGUAUGAACUCACCUUGUGUGAUUUCAGUAGAUGAAUGUUGGAGUAGGGAACUGUUCAACUCAAGAACACUUGAAGAUGCCUUGAAGAUUUUUGAGAAUCUAACACCAAAAUGAUGGAAUUUGUGUAAGCAAUCUAUGAUUAAAGUAGAAUGGGGUGUAAUAAUCAUAUGGAGGAUGUUAAUACUUACCAAAAGUAGAAGAAAAGCUUGGAGAAUGGCCUUGAAUCUCGAAUUUUAGAGAGAGAAAAUGAGAGAAAAUGAAGUUUGAUCUUGAUGGAAGAAUGAGAGAAAAUGAGAGAAGUUAGGAGAGAGGAUGGAUGUUCCAGCCCUAAGGAUGUGGGGAGGGCUGGUAAAUGAGUGGAAAGGACAUUGAAGUGACCUAGGUAAGGUGGGGAGGUGUGGCUGGUCAUAGAGUGGGUGUGGGGGUGGUUGCUUGUGUCAUAAGGUAAAGCAAAGUCAACACUCAACCUUUGUACUUCACCCACUCAUUUCUUGGAUAAUAUAUGCGAGACCUCUCGAUCCUAGACGAGGUUCAGUCCUUUCUGGUCAUGGACCGAAGGCAAAAGUGGUUCAGGAAGCGAAAGUAGGUUCGGUCCGAAGGCAGUUCGGUUCGGUUCGCAGGCUUCGGGUUCGGUUUAUGCGAGCUUCGGUCCGAGAGGGUUUGCUUCUGAUGCCUUCGCUUCUGACAAGUUCAGUUCCUAAGAGGGGUUUCGCGUCCUUAAGAGGGUUCGGCUCCUUAAGAGGGGUUUCGGGUCCUUAAGUCAUUUUUAUCCGUUUUCGCACCGUUUUAAGCGGUUUUUGACCUGGUUAAUGGUCGGGAUGGCCCGAAAGACUAAAAAAAGUUUAAGGAACUUUUGAGAGAGAUUUGGGAGAGAUUUCUCAUUCUUGGAGAGAUUUCUCAUACAAAGAGAGAUUUGGGAGAGAUUUCUCAUACAUGGAGAGAUUUGGGAGAGAUUUCACAUACUUGGAGAGAUUUCUCAUAUGGAGAGAGUGAUUUGGGAGAGAUUCCACAUACGUGGAGAGAUUUGGGAGAGAUUCCACAUACAUGGAGAGAUUUGGGAGAGAUUCUCGAUAAAGAGAGAUAGGGUGAAAACGAUUAAGAGAGGUUUCGUGUGUGACAUUUGUGAGUGUUUGGCUCCGCAACGCAAGGUCCGUAAGCCCCAUUAAGCCAUGUUUAAGGAUCUUACACACUCCCAAUGAGUAUGCAACAUUGUUUUAUCGGUUUGGUUCGUUACUUACCACAGGUUUAGGUUAAGGAAGUCUAGAUGUACGAACUUUUCAAUUUAUGAUCUCUCAUUAGAAUAGCAAGUUGUUUAGUAAUUACAUAACGUAAACCCUAGCAUACAAGGGUUAACUGAGUUGACCGGUUUGACUUGUUGACUUUAGUUGACUUUGACUCGACCGGAAAUUGAUGGUUGUCACAUCAUCCCCCUGUUAGAGGGAAUUUCGUCCCAAAAUUUGCAUUUUGAUUGGAGAUUCAAGAAUUUGGAGGAAAGGUGGGGGAAACUUUUCGUAGUACAAGAAAUUGAUUAUGGUGAGGAACAACCCGCCUGAUGUCACAUGACGACCUUGGAAUUUCUUAUUGUUUAUGCUCCCUGUCUAAUCCUUGGCAUUACCACUAUGAAUACUUUAUAACGUAGUUAGCGAGUUUCGCCAUUACGAAUGAUUCACAAAUUAUGAUGAAAUUUGUAUUGUAAAUCCUACCAGUCCCUUUAUAACCUCUUGGUGUAAACUAGUCGCAUAUCAUUAAGAUUGCAAGGGCAUUCGGAUGGGUGACCCCGCCUUAAGCCCACAACCAAACAAGGAACAGGGAAUGAGACGGAAUCACGCAUUCUAAGUCCAUAGAAUCUUAAUGAUAUAUGACCAUAAUGUUUACAUUAUCCAUCAUAGACUAACUAAUAAAAACCCUGUGUUUUUAUAUAUGUGAUAAGACUUAUUUGAGUUUUGCCGUGUUCUUGAGAUUCAUGGUCGAUAUACUUUAAUCGAUGCUAGAUUUAGCAUAUAAAGAAAUUUAGAAUUUAAACGUCGAUGUUAGAAACACGUACUGAUAUUUACGGGUAGUUUUGGGGUGGUCUCUCCUUCGGUGACCGCAAGCACCCUUCCACCAUCACCGGCAUCUCUUGCUCUUGGGAAGUCCCUUUUAAAGUGUCCCAUUUCGCCGCACUUGUAACAGGCUGGGCUUACUCCAAAGCCAGGGACCUGGUUGAUGGGUCGUGCUGGUGCCUUACAGAAACGGACAGUGUACCCCUCUUUGUCGCAAUUUUUGCAAUGCAUCUUCCAGCAAGUCCCAGUGUGAUGGAAGUUACACUUGUUGCAUUUCGGAAGGGUUCCAGCAUAUUGUUUUAUGGGAGUUGGCGUGGUGAGGGUUGUGGCAGCAUGAACAGCAACAAUCUGUUGCUUCUUAGCGAAGUCAUGGGCUGGUUGGUCCUUAUUGUUGUCCCAAAACUUUCUUUUGUUGUUCCCUCCUCUUGCUUGGUUAAGGAUGGUUGUCGUAGUGUCAUGGCUGGCACGAUGGUCGAUUAGUUGUUGUGCCAACUCCUUGGCGUUGUCGAAGGUAGUUGGUCUUGAGGCCAACGUGCUAUCUUGAAUUUCGGGGGACAAUCCCCAGAGGUAUCGCUCUAACUUUUUUGUCUUUCGGGGUGACCAUAGCGGGAAAAAGGAGUGCUAGAUCACAUAAUCAGGUGGUGUAAGUUGUAAGGUCGGAGCCUGUCAUUUUGAGAUUCCACAAUUCUUGCUCCAGCUUUUGCACUUCACCUCUUGAGCAAUAUUCUUUCAGCAUCAUCUUCUUUAAGUCCUCCCAACUUAACGAGUUAGCCACCGCAAGUGUUAGUGACUUAACAUGACUUUUCCACCAAGUGAGGGCCCGACCAGAGAAAGUGUAUGCUGCAAAUUUGACAUUGCUUGCUUCGGGCAUGCACAAAUUUCAAAGACCGUUUCGGUCUUUUCGAACCAUUGCAUCAAGGUGAUGACGCCCUCGCUUCCAUUGAAAGAAUCGGGUUUGGAACUAGUAAAGUCCUUGUAUGAACAUUCCCUCGUACUUCCUGUAUUGUCCCUGUGGUUAGAGUUUGUGGCUCUAGAUCCAGCACCACUGGUACCAUUUGUACCAAUUUGUGACAUUGCAGCUGCCACGGCUGCUGUUACUGCAGCUUGGAACAUUGCGGGAGCAAAUUGUGGAGGUGGCAUUGGAGGUGGUGGUGUUGUGCUGCCGGAAGGUCUAGGCCUUUUCCUUGGUGGCAUAAUUCUGUCAUAAGUUUGCAAAAAUGAUCAGAUGGUAACUUCCCAAUAGUAAAGACAAGUCGGUUGUUAUUGAACUAGAUUGUUCUAUAUUAUGCUCCGACUUAAGAAUGUCUUGCAUGUAAUUCAUAAAGGAAGUCCAUAUGAAUGAAUUUCAUGAGUUUAGUAGGUUUUGUGCGGGCGUUAAGCUUUACUCAUCUUAGGAUCAUGUUUGACCAAACACACUUAGCUGAGGAGUNUGUUUGACCAACACACUUAGCUGAGGAGUUUUGAUGGGAUCCGGUGCAUUAGUGCUGGUAUGAUCGCACCCUAUAGGUCUACAAAGAAGGCACUUCUCAAACAAGGUGUUUAAAGGUGAGACGGAAAUGAGUUUUUAGAAUGACUAUACGUCGCGAGUUUUCUAACUAAGUUUAUCUUAGUUCAUUUUGUAACGUAUUUCAAUUGUUUUAUGGUGUUCUGAAAACAUUUCAUAACGAGAGUAUAUAAAUGAUAAACUCAUGUAUUUUAGUAGUUCUGUAUCCAAGUGAAACCUUAAAAUUUGAUCCAAGCUAGGCCUUUCUUACGACCAUUUGAUGUAUGCUUAGUGGUAUGAUUAAGACUUAAUAGACCCUUGAGUCUGAUGGAUCUGCCGUAAACCCAUUUUGUUAAUAUGAUUCUAGAGAUUUUGGUUUCAGAGAAAGUUUUGACCGAAAUGUAGGUCUACCCUAGAUUAUUGUAAGGAAAAGUNGGUCUACCCUGAUUAUUGUAAGGAAAAGUUUUGAUAGCAACUAAAUCUCUUGAUUAGUAUCACCGCUUAAAUCACAGCGUCGUGUUUACACCUAGAAUAGAGUAGCACCAACGUGUACUCAUGAUCCUAAUUUACAGGGUCUCGGGAGUGGUAUGGAUUCACUUACGAUGAUCCGUCCUUUGUGAUGCUUGAGGCAAAAUCAAUGCACCUUGCUGCUUUGCAAUUCGACGCUUGGCUGCAAUCAUCCCCUCCUUGAAUGUCGUGUGUCUACUCUAUUACUCUUUUACUUCUGUCCGAGUGGCGAUAAGGUCCUAAGGAGAGAGUUGGCCUCUGAAAUAGUAGUCUCUUUCCAAGUCUCGGGUACGUGAGACGGUGGGGUCCAUAGUAGCACGCAGCUUUCAAACUCGGUUUGCAGUCUCCCUGUUUUAAAUCCCCGAUGUACGCGAUCUGCCGAGUCUUCGUCGGAGGGCUCUGUCAGUCGGUUCCCCCCGUGGCUGAGGUCAUAGCACCCUCGUUGGUGUCCACAUGGUGAUUGAUGUCAUUGCUGUCGACUUCAACCCUCGAUCACGGUUGCCCAACGGGGCACAGGUUCGAUGUGGUCAAAAUGGUUCGCGGGAACCCUUGCUAUGCAUGGAGGAUUGAUUACCUUCGGUUCCGCUUCUGGUUCUCCUCAUAACCAUCCACCAUUUCUCUGAUUGGGAAAGUAGGGGUCGUCCGGUAAGUAGGAUCUUGCUAUGUAGUAUGUGCGAGAAUAGGAGUAAGAAGAUAAUUAUUGGACGAACUAUCUAGAUAAUUAUUAGAUGAUCUGUAUUAGUUUGUAUCAAUACUUAUGUAGUGUAUACCAGUUAUAUGAAAUCAAGGCAGGAUAGUCCUUCGAAUAGGUGAAUCUAACUCCAAAUCCACAAUCCAACGAGAAUAGGAAGUAAAGCAACGGUCACAGAUUCUGAGUCUAUAACGCCUAAAUUUCAUAUAACCUUAGCGUAUUCACUUAACAACUAUUGACCUACUUGAUAGAGACCUGUUUAGUUCUCGUGUAAGCACUUAUAGUAACACAAAAUACUCCCAUAGUAUUUUAAACUCAUUUUCUGUUCUAAUGUUCUCAUUGUGGUAGUGUUGGUAAGUUUUUAGACUUGUCGCCAUGUCCCAACCAUUCUUGGGCACGUGCUAAUCACUCCUCAGACCAGCAUAGUUGAUCAGGCUAUGCCACUCGCAAGACUGACCAUACAUCCCCAAGCUUACUUGUGAUAUUCAAUAAUCAUUAAUUUUGUUUUGUUCUAGAAUGAUGCUGACCUUAGUAUGCAUGCAUACAUGUAUACUUUUAACAAGAAACUAUUUAUUUCUAAAAGUAUAGUUCUUUUGAAAACUUUAAAUCAGAGUCCUUAGUCCCAAUGCAUUUAUAGUUUGUAUAUCUUAUGUGGCUCGAUAUACUUAGUUUACUAUAAACAAUGCUCUGAUACCAAUCUAUCACACCCCCAAACCAAGGAUGGCGGAAACGUCCGAGGGUGGCGGACUUCAUGUAUAGUAUCACAACAAUGAGUAUAAUAGUGCUCAAAGUAAAUACAACCAUCAUAAAUAUAAUUGAAAAAGUUACACCAAAGUAUAUGUUUACAUGUUUAAAAAUCAAUUACAUUAUGAUGACAAAAUAAAUUGUUUGACGAUUUAACGUCCCAUCCUCAAAGCGCUGAUGUUUUCCUGUUUCACUAAUUUCCUGAGAAUACAAGUAGUUUUGAAAAAGUGUCAACAAUUAAGUCGGUGAGUUCAUAAGAGUUUUGUUUGAGGAAGAA